CAUGCUUGAGCAGUAAUCAUUAGUAUGUGCUGCCGAGGAAGACCGUACAGUGUUGCUAAUUCAAAAAAUAACCAUACAAAGACCAUGCUAUCAUUUUCCAGUAUAUAUACAGUACCAAAUCCAUAAUGUCUAGUCUUGGCCAACCUAGCUCAUUUCAAGCCAUUAUUGCUGGUGUUGAGUUGAUCUAACCUUGUAAUAAGAGGGUUGUGCUUAUUUAGCCAGCACUCAGUAGAAAGAGAAAAAAUAUGAAGGCAUUGGUUCCUGAAACCUGACCGUUUGUCCUCCUGUGUUCUAACCGAACACCACUGCUUUGUUUUCUCCCCUGACCGAGUUGUUCGUGGGCGCGCGUGUGUGUAACCACCGGUGAGGGACUUAUUGAGAGGGACAGCGGUAACACAUGCGCUAUGACAUUCUGCAACCACCACACAAAUUUAGUAUCAACCAUAUAAAAAGUCCAACGACUAAGAUUACAUGCUUUAAAGGCAUGCAAGGACUCCAGGAGCGGAAAGGGGUCAGGUCUGUGCCUUGUUCGGGACAACUCCAUCAGUCUGAGCCUUCUUCAACAGUUGGGCGCCGAAGCUCUGGAUGCUUAAGUGAUUGGUAAGCCAGCCGUUUCUUCUUCAUCUAGAAACAUACGAGAAGGUUUGUUUCUGUUCAUACAAUUGGACUGAAGAUUGGAAGAAGGAAAGAACGGGGAAACGAAACCUCAGUGGUGGGGAACGACGGCCAGCAUGGGUCGAAGCGUCUCAUCGACGCAACGGUGUCUAUUUAGUUAAGAGAGGGUGGUGCGUCACUUACAGGGACUACAACAGGCUUACACCGGCCUGAAACACUUCAUAAACUGAAAACUAUACAAAGGAAAAUGAUAAAGUAGGAUUAAUAGAAAAGAAAAGGAGGGAUAAAAUCAUAAUCUUACAGAUAGGUGACACAACAUAGUGCUCCAACCUCUAAGGAUGCCUUUCUUAAUUUCAUUUGAAUACCUGUUGGACUACAACAUAAGAUCAUCAACAAUCUUGCUAGCAGUAAUGUGCAAUUCCUCAAAAACAUCCUGGAAGAGCUUGGAGUUUCCGCGCUUCCGUAUAUUCCAGGGUACCUAGCAAUUUUGACACAACGAAGCAAUUCAGAAAAUUCAGACCCAAAGAAGCAGUUUAGCAGUUUAGUAAACUGAAUAAUUCUUAGACCGUUCGACAAUUCAGCAAAUUCAGACCCAAAGAAGCAGUUCAGCAGUUCAGUAAACUGAAUAAUUAUUAGACCGUUCAGAAAAACUAAGAUCUUUGAAUGCUAUACCAUUUAACCUAGCAAUCCAUUUGAAAUGUAUAAGCAUGUGCAAUAAUCACUGCUAUUCACUUCCUCAUGUAAGAAAUCAAAUCGAAGCAUGACACCAUUAGGAAGAAAAGCACACAUAUUAGGCAUUGACGGGAAAGUUUAGCAAUAAAAGGUAAUCUCCACUGCUCUUAUUCUCUUGACUUGAUCAGCAGAUCGAAAGGAGUUGGAGAAGGCACAGUGCCCCAUCUUCCACUUGAACGACAUAUGCGCAGAAAAACACCUUGAUGACUUGUCCUUUGUGAGUGCUUGUUAAUUCUGCUGCUCGAAACAUAAACGCAUGAAACUCAUGCACAUCUAGCUACCUCUUGUUGAAGGAGUGAUCUGGUGAACCAGUUCCUAUCCAAAGCAACACACACACAGCCCGACGAACCACACGUCGCUGUAGCACGACCACCAGUGGCGAGGAGCAGAGCACCAGCUCACGAUGGGAACUCAUCAUCUGGAUGCCCGGUGACACCCCCAAUCCCCACCCAACUACCUGGAUCGACCGGGUUGACGCAGGUAAGCAGGAGAUCGCGGGACUGCAGCCUCACGAUAUAGAGCAGAACAAAGAUAACUGAAACGAACACAUUAAAAUUCUACUGUAAUGAACUGCACAGGAGACUGACAGCGGAACUUGUAAGUUCUGAAUUGCACUUGACGCAGGCAAAAUUUUACAACCCGGAUGCAAACAUCAUCCAGAGAACCUAAGCUCAAAGAGAAGAAAGAACUGCGCUGAACUGUAUUUUUGCACAUAAAAAAUCUUAAACAAAAAAGCAAAAACUUUGAACUCCAUGGCAGAGGAAUCCAUAGAGCAGAGCACCACACUACGGUCUUCCUGGGGCGUCACCGCCAGCGCUGUUGCUCCUCUCGCACUCUCGGGUCCAUGAGACCCCUUCCAGCCUCAUGGUCGCCAUGGGCGCCAUGGUCGGCGACACAGAGAAAAUAGGGGAGGGUAUGGUCAUGGGGGAUGGGGACCAGCAUCGAGAAGGCACACGACGGGAUGGACACGGUGAACUGCAUGGCUUCGCCACCCCGUACUGCAUGCCGCGGGGCGGCUAGGAACCUCACAGGGAGAUGAGGAAGGGAAGGUCGGCAGAGAGCAGGCACAAGUGUGCUCACAGUCGAUCUUGACGCAGAUGAGUGGAAAGAGGGAGCGUGGCGGCUGGGGCUCGUCGGGCCCUAAGCUGGAAGGGAGGGUAGUGGAGGCAAUCAGUCGUGGGGGAGGAGGGGAGUAGUUGCCGGCCUGGAUCCAUCACGGGCGGCGCUUUGGGGGCGGUGGGAGAUUGAGGGAAGCCCAGCCGAGGGCAAUGAGAGGUGGCGGCCGCCAGAUAUAGCUCGUGGCGAGAGCUCUGGAGGUGGAGUGAGUAGCCAGGGCAUAGAAGGUGUGGUUCGGCGGGAGUUUUGUGGAGUGGUGGCGCGACGCGGUGAGGAGGCAGCCGGCGGCGCGGGGGAGCGCUGCGAGGCAGAGCGUGGCUGUGUUAUUUCCCCCCGUACCGGUUCGAUUUGGAUUGCAGAUUGAAUAUAAACAAUCACAGGGGCUUUUCGCAAAAGAUCCGUGAACCAGGUCUGACGGACGGACGAACAUGCUAUUAGUACCACCUCGUUUAUAUUACGAUUUUGUCUAUACGAAUCGUAAAAGCGUAUUAUGACAUGAGAAAAAGCGUAUUGUGACGGUGAACCCGACAAAGUCAAUCCGUGCUUCAUUAUUAGGGAAAGAUUUAACAACUUGGUUUCAUGGCGUUGGAUCUCAUGUGAAUAAACUAUAUAUCGAAGUGUUUGCUGUUCUUUGCUUCACUAGAUAUCAAAGUAUAAACAACAAGCUCGUAUACAAUAUGUCAAAGUAUAAUCAAAUAACAAGCUCUUGUUCUUUGCUUAAUAAUGAUAAGAGCUUUACAAGUAACAAGCUCCAGUACAAAGAUGUCGAAGUUUUAAUAUAAAUUGUACCAACUUAUAAUGGUGGAUUCUAAUUAUAGUGAACCAGAUAAGCGGCCUUCGGUGACAUUUUGAGCUCUUGUCUGUUGUCUUUAACUGCCAUUGCGUAGCAGCCAACAAUGUGAAUUUAUGAUGGUUAUUUAGUUUAUUUGAUUGUACACUCUGCAUAGCUUUCCUCAUUAAUUCAAUUUUUCACAAAAUUUGGAAGGCUAUUGUAUUGCUGCGUAAACUGGAGCAAGGCCUUAUCAUUUCCAUCUGACAAAACAUCCUGAAUGUCUUGUCUAGUUCUUCCACUCUAACAAGGCCAUACAUAACGGUGUUGUAAGAUGAAAGUCCGGACAUGAUUUAGCUUUUAAAUUACAGUAUACUGCUCUUACUGUGUUGUAAGAUUGAAGGUCGAAGAUACUACACUUCGGUACAGAUCUAUAUCAUUAUUUGGGAAGUAAACUUUUAAUCUGCAGUAGAGUUGUAUCUAGUAAACUUUGAAAUUUCUUGAUUAAUGUUUUGUAUCUAUCACUGCAAUGGUUACACGUUGAUCCUUACUUGCAAUCUAAUUUGCAUGUUGGUGUCUGUUCUUCAGGAAUCAUGAUACUACUUUAUGGUCUGACUGGUGAAAGAGGUAUUUUGUACGGUUCUCUUGUGUCCUACUUGUCUUUUUCUCUCUAUAUAAAGUAGCAUUGAAAAUGUCCUUGUAUUUCGGUUGACAUCGCAUGAUAUAUGCCUGUAAGAAAGCUCUGUAUGUUCUUUUGAGUUAAACCUAACACCAAACAUUUUAGUUUCUAUACUUCUGUCAGUUAAUGCUUGAAAAACGUUUGAAUUUUAUUUGUUGUACUAGUUGCCUUUGUGUGCUCAUACAAAAAUACUAGAUCCUACGAUGUCAAAAAUUCAUACAGGUUGUGGAUGGCACUUCCUUUUUCUUGAAUGUUGUUCCUAUUUUGUCUUCUGUGCAGUUUUUUCAAACAGAGUUCGAUGAGUCUUCACUUUCAUAAAACUAAACUUAAUGUCAGAGGCAAUCUCACCGUGCCAUUAUGCGUUUAAUUAUUUGUCCAGACCUGAAACUGUUUUCAUGGUUUCCAGGAAGGGCAACUAGAUGUGCUUAAUUCAUGUGCCCAGGCUUGAAACUGCGGACAUUUUUAAGCUUCUUAUUAAAUCAAAUAUUCACUUGAUGCCUUGAAGGGAAAUUUGUUGAGAAAUUUUCUUGAUGUAGCCGUUUUUCUUAUAAAAGUUGGGGUGGUGCACUUUUGUAGAUUCUGAGUAUCGUAAUAAAUGUAAUGGAUAGAAUGUUUUUUAAUACUACAUGACUUGACAUUUUGCCUUUUCCUGUCCAGGUUGAAAAUGUUCCUGUAAGAUUCGUCAAGGCACCUUGCCUUAACCAUAUGCCCUGAGCUCACACAGAACUUACAGGCUUUAUUCUUUGUGUUUGUUACAUCUUGUACUGCUCAAAUGUCUAGAAACUAUAGAUGCUAAAUUAUGAGGGAAGUCUUCAUGUGUAAUCAAUGAAUUGCAUACAUUGUAAAAUGUUUGAUGAUCAAACUUUAUAAUAUAUAUGCGAUGUGCAUCUGCAUAAUCCUUUUGCUUUAUUUGAAUGGAUGUGUCAUCUUUUGAAUCGGGGUGUGUAUGUAAAUGUGAAAUAAAU
rnacentral:lncRNA from 1 species